GAUCCUGGCUCAGAUUGAACGCUGGCGGAACGCUUUACACAUGCAAGUCGAACGGUAACGCGGAGAGAAGCUUGCUUCUCUCCGGCGACGAGUGGCGAACGGGUGAGUAAUACAUCGGAACGUGUCCGCUCGUGGGGGACAACCAGCCGAAAGGUUGGCUAAUACCGCAUGAGUUCUACGGAAGAAAGAGGGGGGACCCGCAAGGGCCUCUCGCGAGCGGAGCGGCCGAUGACUGAUUAGCCGGUUGGUGAGGUAACCGG
rnacentral:rRNA from 1 species